UAAAAACAACAGGAAAGUGUGUGUGUGUGUAUGACUGUUAACUCUAGUCCAUGCUAAAGGUCUCUUCAGUAUUAACGCAACAUCAUUUGCAUUAGUCUGCUUAAACUAGAGCAAAAUAUUAUUGCAGACUUUUCCCUCUAAAAGUGCAAAACCAGACUUAGUAUUCACAAGCAAAUACGCCUCAAUAUAUUAAGGAUACAGUACUUAAGUGAGCAUAAAAUACUGCUCAGAAAGAUAGUGGUCAGCAUGGAAUAUCUAUUUGAGAUGCUUUUUCAGUUAACUUAUGUAUACAUACAUUUAUACACUCACA